UUUGGUGGAUCAGUGAGCCAAUCUAAACAGAAACUGAAUCAAAAGUCCCUUGGAAAGAAAGCAAAUGAAAGAAAGAGAUGAAAGGAAAUGAAAAAGAGCAUGAGCUCAGUUUUGCAAAACAACAAAACAAAUAUUGGUGCAAUCUGCCUGAACACUUGUGAAACUUAUUGCCUGCAUUUUCCAUGAAUUGGAUAUUGGUACCUUGGACCAGAGGAAGUUUUCACCCUAGCACAAACACUAUAUAUAUGGCAUACGAUGUUGAUAAUACCGC